rnacentral:rRNA from 14 species
UUCCUUGUCGGGUAAGUUCCGACCUGCACGAAUGGCAUAAUGAUGGCGGCGCUGUCUCCAGCAGAGACUCAGUGAAAUCGAAAUCGCAGUGAAGAUGCUGUGUACCCGCGGCUAGACGGAAAGACCCCGUGCACCUUUACUGCAGCUUCAGAGUGGCAUUAGGAAAUUACUGUGUAGCAUAGGUGGGAGGCUUUGAAGCGACGGCGCCAGCUGUCGUGGAGCCAUAGGUGAAAUACCACCCUGUGAUUUUCUGAUGUCUAACCUCGCACCGUUAGCCGGUGUAGGGACCCUCUGUGGCGGGUAGUUUGACUGGGGCGGUCGC